CCCCAGUUUGUUAAACUCGUGGAGGGUGCUGCUAGAAAUAGCUUCGGAAGUGCGUUGCUAAUGACAUUCUGUGUGAGAGGGAUGGGCUGACAUUGCAGAUGGUGUCUUGUAGCCAUGCAGACAGUCCCAGGUCAGCAUCUGAAGCAGUUCCUGGAUGAAGUGGGACCUUUUCCCGCAAACACCUUCUCUGGUGUAAAACUCAACAGGAAACAAGUGGAUGAUGAUGACUUCCACAAAGUGAAAGAUAAACUAAUCAAUGGC